rnacentral:sRNA from 1 species
GAGCAGAUUGAGGAGGCUGUGGAGGCUGCUAUUAACAGGCACCGGCCCCAGCUCCUGGUGGAACGUUACCAUUUCAACAUGGGGCUGCUGAUGGGUGAGCAGGGCCUGGAACGGGGCUAUAUUGUUCUCUCUGGUCAUGCCUUUUCUUCUGGGCACGAGUGAGAAGGAGGUGGGGGAAGGAACAGGAGUGACUUAAAGUGGUCUGGCUGGGCUCAGGCUCUGGUUCUCGUGGUCAGCCAGGACCUUUCCUUGGGAAAGAGGUGGGGGGAGUACUCUUUUUUGCCUUUCUGCAGUUCCUUGUGCCUAUGCUUCUAGGAGAGGCUCGGGCUGUGCUCAAGUGGGCAGAUGGCAAAAUGAUCAAGAAUGAAGUGGACAUGCAGAUGGAGGCUGAUCUGGAGAAGAAGCCCAAGGUGGCAAAAACUCGGCUAGAAGAAACAGACCGGAGGAUGGCAAAGGAUGUGAUGGAGAAUGGCGAGACUGCUGACCAGACCCUGUCUCUGAUGGAGCAGCUCCGUGGGGAGGCCCUUAAGUUCCACAAGCCUGGUGAGAACUACAAGACCCCAGGCUAUGUGGUCACUCCACACACCAUGAAUCUACUAAAGCAGCACCUGGAGAUUACUGGUGGGCAGGUACGUACCCGGUUCCCGCCAGAACCCAAUGGAAUCCUGCAUAUUGGACAUGCCAAAGCCAUCAAUUUCAACUUUGGCUAUGCCAAGGCCAACAAUGGCAUCUGUUUUCUGCGUUUUGAUGACACCAACCCCGAGAAGGAGGAAGCAAAGUUCUUCACUGCCAUCUGUGACAUGGUGGCCUGGCUAGGCUACACACCUUACAAAGUCACAUAUGCGUCUGACUAUUUUGACCAGUUAUAUGCGUGGGCUGUGGAGCUCAUCCGCAGGGGUCUGGCUUAUGUGUGCCACCAGCGAGGAGAGGAGCUCAAAGGCCAUAAUACUCUGCCCUCACCCUGGAGAGACCGUCCCAUGGAGGAGUCACUGCUACUCUUUGAGGCAAUGCGCAAAGGCAAGUUUUCAGAGGGCGAGGCCACACUACGGAUGAAGCUGGUGAUGGAGGAUGGCAAGAUGGACCCUGUAGCCUAUAGAGUCAAGUAUACACCACACCACCGCACAGGGGACAAAUGGUGCAUCUAUCCCACCUACGACUACACACACUGCCUCUGUGACUCCAUCGAGCACAUCACUCACUCACUCUGCACCAAGGAAUUCCAGGCCCGACGCUCUUCCUACUUCUGGCUUUGCAAUGCACUGGACGUCUAUUGCCCUGUGCAGUGGGAGUAUGGCCGUCUCAACCUGCACUAUGCUGUUGUCUCUAAGAGGAAGAUCCUCCAGCUUGUAGCAACUGGUGCUGUGCGGUAGGUGCGGCUGUUUGGCUUAUGAAAGGUUAAUGGCAUGUGCUCCCAAAGGCCUUCUCACCACCUUCUUAUCCACAGGGACUGGGAUGACCCACGGCUCUUUACACUCACAGCCCUGCGACGGCGGGGCUUCCCACCUGAGGCCAUCAACAACUUCUGUGCCCGGGUGGGAGUGACUGUGGCACAGACCACAAUGGAGCCACAUCUUCUAGAAGCCUGUGUGCGUGAUGUACUGAAUGACACAGCCCCACGAGCCAUGGCUGUGCUGGAGUCACUACGGGUCAUCAUCACCAACUUUCCCGCUGCCAAGUCCUUGGACAUCCAGGUGCCCAACUUCCCAGCUGAUGAGACCAAAGGCUUCCAUCAGGUUCCCUUUGCACCCAUUGUCUUCAUUGAGAGGACUGACUUCAAGGAGGAGCCAGAGCCAGGAUUUAAGCGCCUGGCUUGGGGCCAGCCUGUGGGCCUGAGGCAUACAGGCUACGUCAUUGAGCUGCAGCGUGUUGUCAAGGGCCCCCGUGGUUGUGUAGAGAGUCUGGAGGUGACCUGCAGACGGGCAGAUGCUGGAGAGAAGCCAAAGGCCUUUAUUCACUGGGUGUCACAGCCUUUGAUGUGUGAGGUUCGCCUCUAUGAGCGACUAUUCCAGCACAAGAACCCUGAAGAUCCUACUGAGGUGCCUGGUGGAUUUUUAAGUGACCUGAACCUGGUAGGUUCGUGAGGUUUGGGGUGAGGGAGGUAGGCCUCCCUGGUUGGAUGGUUGCCUGAGUUCCCUGCCUGCAGGCAUCACUACACGUGGUGGAGGCAGCAUUAGUGGACUGCUCUGUGGCCCUGGCAAAACCCUUUGACAAGUUCCAGUUUGAGCG